rnacentral:tRNA from 1 species
CCCCCCGUAGCUCAAUGGGAUAGAGCACCCGGCUACCAACUGGGAGGUUGCAGGUUCGAGUCCUGCCGGGGGGU